rnacentral:rRNA from 1 species
AUUGAACGCUGGCGGCAGGCCUAACACAUGCAAGUCGAGCGAGCGGCGGACGGGUGAGUAAUGUCUGGGAAACUGCCUGAUGGAGGGGGAUAACUACUGGAAACGGUAGCUAAUACCGCAUACCAUCAGAUGUGCCCAGAGGGGAUUAGCUAGUAGGUGGGGUAACGACUCACCUAGGCGACGAUCCCUAGCUGUUCUGAGAGGAUGACCAGCCACAUUGGAACUGAGACAGGGUCCAGACUCCUGCGGUAGGCAGCAGAGGGGAAUAGUGCGCAAUGGGCGCAAGCCUGAUGCAGCGAGGCCGCGUGUGGGAAGAAGGCCUUCGGGUUGUAAUGCACUUUCAGCGGGGAGGCGUUACCCGCAGAAGAAGCACCGGCUAACUCCGUGCCAGCAGCCGCGGUAAUUC